GCGGAUGGCCGGAUGGCCGCGGCCCGGGUGACCGGGGCGAGGAAAGUCCGGACUCCGGGAAGGAAUGGCGGCGGGUAACGCCCGCCCGGGGCAACCCGAGGGAAAGCGCCACAGAGAUCAGACCGCCUCUCCGCGUGGGAGUCGUCCCGCGCGGGGUGGUAAGGGUGAAACGGUGGGGUAAGAGCCCACCGCGCCGGCGGCGACGUCGGUGGCACGGCAAGCCCCGCCAGGAGCAAGGCCAAAUAGGGAUCGCGUGGGAUUUCAUCCCAGGGUUCUUCCACCCGAGCGAUCCGGGUUGGCCGCUGGAGCCCGUUGGCGACGACGGGCCUAGAGGAAUGGCCAUCGGCUCGGACCAAGCGAUUGGCCGAGCUACAGAAUCCGGCUUACAGGCCAUCCGCGCGC
rnacentral:RNase_P_RNA from 1 species